UACGGAAGGCAGCAGUGGGGAAUAUUGCACAAUGGGCGCAAGCCUGAUGCAGCCAUGCCGCGUGUAUGAAGAAGGCCUUCGGGUUGUAAAGUACUUUCAGCGGGGAGGAAGGCGAUGCGGUUAAUAACCGCGUCGAUUGACGUUACCCGCAGAAGAAGCACCGGCUAACUCCGUGCCAGCAGCCGCGGUAAUACGGAGGGUGCAAGCGUUAAUCGGAAUUACUGGGCGUAAAGCGCACGCAGGCGGUCUGUUAAGUCAGAUGUGAAAUCCCCGGGCUUAAACCUGGGAACUGCAUUUUGAAACUGGCAGGCUUGAGUCUUGUAGAGGGGGUAGAAUUCCAGGUGUAGCGGUGAAAUGCGUAGAGAUCUGGAGGAAUACCGGUGGCGAAAGGCGGGCCCCCUGGGACAAAGACUGACGCUCAGGGUGCGAAAAGCGUGGGGAGCAAAACAGGAUUAGGAUACC
rnacentral:rRNA from 1 species